rnacentral:rRNA from 1 species
AUUGAACGCUGGCGGCAGGCCUAACACAUGCAAGUCGAACGAGUGGCGGACGGGUGAGUAAUGUCUGGGAAACUGCCUGAUGGAGGGGGAUCACUACUGGAAACGGUAGCUAAUACCGCAUACCAUCGGAUGUGCCCAGAUGGGAUUAGCUAGUAGGUGGGGUAACGGCUCACCUAGGCGACGAUCCCUAGCUGGUCUGAGAGGAUGACCAGCCACAAUGGAACUGAGACACGGUCCAGACUCAUACGGGAGGCAGCAGUGGGGAAUAUUGCGCAAUGGGCGGAAGCCUGAUGCAGCGACGCCGGGGGGGGGAGGAAGGCCUUCGGGUUGUAAACUCAUUUAGACAGGGACGCGGUACCUGUAUAAGAAGCACCGGCUAACUACGUGCCAGCAGCCGCGGUAAUUC